UUACAUUAAUUAAUCUACACAUUGUGUUAUUAAGGCCUGAAAAUCUUUUUGGCGUGUGCUGUGUGCAUGCACAUACUGCCCUUUUCUGAUUUUGAGCCCCUGCCCCUCUAUAAUCAUGUGCACGUCCCUGACAUCAGAUAACCUUCCGCGACGAUUGCAGACUGUUUGGUGGAGCUCUGCUUCGAAUGAAGUUCCGUCGUGACAAAUAAAUGGACCACUUGCCGAGUGACAUUAAGACAUGUAUCAGAGGCACAAAAUACGUUGACAGCGGUGGCCGGUCAUUAAAUUUACCAAUACCCGUAACCCGACCCGUGCCUUACGGAACCCCCCGCCCCUAGAUUUAGAAGAGCCUCAUUUUCAGGUCGGGAAAGCCGAAUUUCCGGAUUUAUCCGGAAGAAUCACACUCCUGCUUUUUCUCGGUCACUUGUUUUGCUCUCGGUUGCCGUCAGUCUAGUUCCCAAAGAUGUCAGUUCUGUGGCUUGGACGGAAAAACACAAGUUUGAUUUAUUUUUGUGAAUGGUUGAAUACAUUUCUAACCAAGUUUAGAAAACACAAGCUAUGUUUUAACAUUGAUUAAAUGUAGUGUAAUUAUCUCAUCCAUACCAUGUGGAUUGUUACAGCUUUAUUCUGGAGCUCACAAUAAAUUCAUUGUGUACUGAUGCACUUCAUCACCUGCAUUUUCUGUCUCCAGCUGGUCAAUCCUGGAAUCACUGCUGCUCAGUCUGGUCUGCAGGUCUGCAGUUAAUGUAAUGACAGUGAAUCCCGGUGCCACAGGCCACAUCCAACACGACAGCCGCCUCACGAUCGCCGCUGAAAUGUGUGGAGAUGCUGUUUGCUGCCAGACUCGGUGCACGGUAGUCCAGAACAGCCACAUCCUAUUCAGAUGAGUUUGAAGUAAAACCAGUAACUUUGAGCACAGAUGCAGAAGGCAAACAUGAACAUCUAUCUGAGCAUAUUCAUUCAUUUUGUAUAAAGACAUCACACUAUUGAAUAUAUACUGUAGAACUGCUGUGAGUGCAGUGACACCAUAUUUGGGCACUAUAUACACUAUACAGGGGGGCCAGACUCAGAGUUAUGGGGCCACUGGCCCCUGUUGGCCCCCCUAGAACCGCCACUGUUAUACAAUACAAAGAUACAGAGCCUCAUAAUGUUCUAUAGUGAACUGUGUUAUUUAGAUUAAGGAGGCACUUUGUAGUUUUGGAGAAGAAAUUAAAAGUCAGAAUCUUAACAGUUAUUAUAUUAACGAUUUAAUAAUACAAACUCAGAAAUAUCUAUUUUUUCUACACCUGAA
rnacentral:lncRNA from 1 species